CUGUUCCUUGGAGUUCCCUUGAUCACUUCAUUGGGGAUAUUUUACGACCCUUGACACUGGAAAUUUGGUCCUACUGAAGUGUUUGGGGGAACUUUGGGAGACAG
rnacentral:pre_miRNA from 1 species